rnacentral:lncRNA from 1 species
UCUUCGCUCCUCUACCCCAUAAAAUUCCCUACAAAUGCAAAAAUUCGAGAUAGAAGAAGCCGUCCCUGAAAUUGCUGUCUAACAUUCACCGGAAACCUCUCCAUAAACAAGGAGAAACGAACGCACACGCAUUUUUGCUAAGAAGCCCGGGAUUAAGAUUAAGGAUAGAAGCUGAAAGAAAAAUUGAAAAAUGCUUCUCCGCGCGUCAAUCGAGGGGUGGAUGCGCCAAGCAGCGUGAGCCCAGCUCACAGCCACGCGUAAGACCAAGAGCUGCCCUGGGUCCUGCGCGCGGAGACCUCAGAGCCGAAGAGAGAAGUCCCCGCGACAGAAACGCUGCGGAUGCCAGGUCUUGAAAAUGCUAACUUCUGAGGCUAAGAAUUAUUUCAGAGACAAAAAGAAAAGACUGGUGAGGAGGCCUUCCGGUGCAAGGGCGCCCAUCCGCUAAUUUUGGGUGGGGAAGUGGGGAUUAUUCGUUUAAAUUCAAUCGCCAGCACCAAGUCGGACUGGCCGGGGAUGGAGAAGGGCAACCCCCACCUUUAGAAAAAUAAAAGAUCUCGAAGGCCC